AAACUAAAUUGAGAGAAACAUGAAGCAAUCUCACUAAAAUCAGGGACUAGACAAGGCUGCCCCCUCUCUCCAUAUCUUUUCAAUAUAGUACUUGAAGUUCUAGCUAGAGCAAUUAGACAACAGAAGGAAGUCAAAGGGAUACAAAUUGGAAAGGAAGAAGUCAAACUAUCACUGUUUGCAGAUGAUAUGAUCGUAUACUUAAGUGACCCUAAAAACUCUACUAGAGAACUCCUACAGCUGAUAAACAACUUCAGCAAAAUGGCUGGCUACAAAAUCAACGCAAGCAAAUCAGUAGCCUUUAUAUAUUCAAAGGAUAAGCAGACUGAGAAAGAAAUUAGGGAAAUGACCCCCUUCACAAUAGCUAAAAACAGCAUAAAGUAUCUUGGGGUGACUCUAACCAAACAAGUGAAAGACCUAUAUGACAAGAACUUCAGAUCUCUGAAGAAGGAAAUUGAAGAAGAUCUCAGAAAAUGGAAAAACCUUCUAUGCUCGUGGAUUGGCAGGAUUAAUAUAGUUAAAAUGGCCAUCUUGCCAAAGGCAAUCUACAAAUUCAAUGCGCCAGGCAGUGGUGGCACAUGCUUGUAAUCCCAGCAAUCUGGGAAGCAGAGGCAGGCGGGUUUCUGAGUUCGAAAAGAAACUGGGGAAGACCCUGGAGGACAUGGGCACAGGGGAAAAGUUCCUGAAUAAAACACCAAUAGCUUAUGCUCUAAGAUCAAGAAUUGACAAAUGGGACCUCAUAAAACUACAAAGUUUCUGUAAGGCAAAGGACACCGUCAAAAGGACAAAACAUCAACCAACAGACUGGGAAAGGAUCUUCACCAACCCUAAACCCGACAGAGGGCUAAUAUCUAAUAUAUACAAAGAACUCAAAAAAGUAGAACCCAGAGAACCAAAUAACCCCAUUAAAAAGUGGGGUAUGGAGCUAAACAAAGAAUUUUCACAUGAAGAACUUCGGAGAGCUGAGAAACACCUUAAGAAAUGUUCAACAUCAUUAAUCAUUAGGGAAAUGCAAAUCAAAAGAACCCUGAGAUUUCACCUCACACCAGUCAGAAUGGCUAAGGUCAAAAACUCAGGAGACAGCAGGUGUUGGCGAGGAUGUGGAGAAUGAGGAACAUUGCUUCACUGCUGGUGGGAUUGCAACAUGGUGCAACCACUUUGGAAAUCAGUCUGGCGGUUCCUCAGAAAACUGGGCAUGUCACUUCCUGAGGACCCUUUUAUACCACUACUGGGCAUAUAUCCACAGGAUUCUUCAGCAUGCAAUAAGGACACAUGCUCCACUAUGUUCAUAGCAGCCCUAUUUGUAGUAGCCAGAAGCUGGAAAGAAACUAGAUGUCCUUCAACGGAGGAAUGGAUACAAAAAAUGUGGUAUAUUUACACAAUGGAGUACUAUUCAGCCAUUAGAAACAAUGAAUUCAUGAAAUUCUUAGACAAAUGGAUGGAGCUGGAGAACAUCAUACUAAGUGAGCUCCCCAGGCCUUGCCUAGCAUUCUGCUCAGUGCUUGGAAAUUUCCAAGGAGUGGCUUCGGUUGUGAUGGAUGGGAACCUCGUGUUCUACCUGUGGUCAGGCAGUCACACAUCUUGAUAUCUUAAGGAAGUGAACCCAAGGCUUCUUCAAUGCCAGACACCCACUUUGCUACUGAGCUAUACCCAUCUGAAG